CUAACUAGUCAAGUCAACCUUAAAUUAGGUUGACUAGUGACUAUUUGGCGAGGUCAAACUGGCUGCUUUCCUUAAUCUGUUAAGAAGACUGCUGUUUCAUAAGCUGUUAUGAACAGUUUUCAUGUGACUGUAUUUCUCAUCCCAUCUGGACUGCAAGGUGCCCCGAAUUUAUAAGGUCGACGCAAGUUCAACUCUAUAACCACGUGGCCAUAUUUCACUUCAGGUUUAAUAUAGGCCUAAAUAGGGUAUCCGAGUUCCUGGCAGUGCCAGCUGGAAGAACCACAGGCCGAUGCCAACAUCCCCCCCUUUACCUGGCAUUGUGCCCUCUGCGUGCCCGUGCCGUGCACCGAGUUGCUGAGACAACCAAAGCAGUGAAGUGGAGCAGUCCCAGCUGCAGCCCAGAGCACAUUUACAGCAUGUGAACCUCUGGGGUCAAGCACAGGGCAGCUGCUCACAACACAACUGAUCUCAGCUUUGUGGGCAGAUCCCAGUCUCCAUUCCCGCUGCCUUUUGCCUGAUUCCCUGAAUUCUUGGCGCGGAUGCGUAUUUAUGACAGAAUAAGUCAGAUUCUUUAAAUUCCUGUGUUACUCUCCUUCUUCAUUGCUGCCCUCCCACUCUUUCUCUAAAACUGUCAUGUGGUCCGUAGUGUUUUUGUGACAAAAGUCAGUAGAAGUUCCAGCGUGAGUGUAAGUGGGUGUUUCUCCAACUAAAGGCACUUUUGUGUGCCGAAGGACAUUAUUCUUUUUGCUAUGUCACACAAUUUUUUUUACACAAUG